rfam:Triticum aestivum genome assembly, contig: Triticum_aestivum_CS42_TGACv1_scaffold_577539_7BL
AACAUACUCCCUCCGUUCGGAAUUACUUGUCGCAGAAAUGGAUAUAUCUAGGCUUGUUUUAGUUCUAGAUACAUCCAUUUUCGAGACAAGUAAUUCCGAACGGAGGGAGUAUUAC